rnacentral:lncRNA from 1 species
GAGAAGUGCUGCAGUUUUUUAUUGCACACAUACAAUCCUUUGUUGAGAUUAUAAUUGUUUCCUACCAUCAGUGAUUCUUCUUUUUUUUCUUGCUGUACUUUCCAGCUCUCAGUAUUGUUCUGUGUCUCGGAACUGCAGGUUUUCCACAAAAGAAAAUUCGGUUGUGUCAAGGUGAUGGUGUGGUUAUUGUUUUUCUUUGGGCAUGGGCCAAACCACGCAGAUGGCAUACUAGGACGAGCCUGUGGAAGGAGACCAAUGGUUUUGUUGCCAACUCUUCGAGAAAAUCAGAGGAGCGACUGGGAAAUCUGUCUUCCAUGGAAAAGAGGAAAGAUGCUAAGGGACAGGAUGUACCCUCCUUGACAGUGUGGUCAAACAGCCAGCUUCCUCACUUGUCCCUAAAGAGCUCUCAGACAACUGUCUAGAAAAGUGCACAGUCUCCCCAGCUGUUAACAGCAGGAUAUACUGCAGCACUCCAGACUGCUGCUGCCAUGUCGUUUCAGUGCCUCCGGGGUCAGCUCAGUGUAUUAAAUUAACAGUUUUCCCAGGCAAUGCAAAAUGUCUGUGAACAGAAUGGUGCAGCAUAAUAAUGGGAUACAAGGGGAAGAUACCUGCUUAAAUAUGAAAUGUUUUGGUAAGAGCAGGAGAUGUUGAAGUGGUUCUGACUUACAUGACUUAGUGCCAAACACACGUUGUCACGCAGCAGUCCCAGCACGCUGUGUCUGUUCACCACCACUUCACAUUUUCAUAGCUUAUUUUAGAACAGUUGCAUUUUUUUUUCCAUCCUUAAUAAUUUAUGAGCUUAGAAUUAUCGAUAACGUGAAGCUUCAUUAUAAACUAUCAGGAGGAUUCUCAUCUGACUCGUCCCAUUAAAUUAUUAUUCCCAAACAUGAUUUAUAUUUAAUAAGACAUCAAUUGAACAUCAGUAAAAAUAAUAAUUUAAUGAACUAUAUCUUCACAGAAAUACCAAUAGCUUAAAGACAAGCAAAUGCUGUGUACGGUCUGCAGGUCAGCUGUCAAACCUCUCUGAGAAUAUUUGUCUGUUUAGUAUUUAGAAUAUGAUAGUAAACCACAAAGAUAUUUAAUUGCUGUGGUCUUCAGCUGAUUCUUGUGACAAUUGUGGACCACGCCAAACCAUGAACCUGUAAGGCAGAACUGGGAAGUAACAAAGAGUUCUGUGUAGGUGAGGAGGUAAUCUCAAAACACUACAAAUGCCCAAGCAACUUCACGUUUCCACAAACAAAAUGUCAGAAGAAUUUUGGUUUGGGUAACUUUUUUUCUUUAACAUGAUCUACUGGAUUGAAAUGCUCUAUUUCUCCAUACAGAAAGUCAAAAUAAACAAUUUUACUGAUUGAAACUUCUGCCUAAAAACACAUUAAAAUAGCC